rnacentral:rRNA from 1 species
GAUGAACGCUGGCGGCAUGCCUAACACAUGCAAGUCGGACGGGAAGUGGUGUUUCCAGUGGCGGUCGGGUGAGUAACGCGUAAGAACCUGCCCUUGGGAGGGGAACAACAGCUGGAAACGGCUGCUAAUACCCCGUAGGCUGAGGAGCAAAAGGAGGAAUCCGUCAGAGGGUGGGCUUGCGUCUGAUUAGCUAGUUGGUGAGGCAAUAGCUUACCAAGGCGAUGAUCAGUAGGCGGUCCGAGAGGAUGAUCAGCCACACUGGGACGGGGAGACGAACCAGGCUACGUCGGGCAGCAGGAGUGGGGAAUAUGCCGCAAUGGGGCAAAGGCUGACGGAGCAAUGCCGCGGGAAGGUAGAAGGCCCACGGGUCGUGAACUGCUUUUCCCGGAGAAGAAGCAAUGACGGUAUCUGGGGAAUAAGCAUCGGCUAACUCUGUG